rnacentral:rRNA from 1 species
ACGAACGCUGGCGGCAUGCCUAACACAUGCAAGUCGAACGAGACCUUCGGGUCUAGUGGCGCACGGGUGCGUAACGCGUGGGAACCUGCCCUUAGGUUCGGAAUAACUCCCCGAAAGGGGUGCUAAUACCGGCUAAUGUCUUCGGACCAAAGAUUUAUCGCCUUUGGAUGGGCCCGCGUUGGAUUAGCUAGUUGGUAGGGUAAAAGCCUACCAAGGCGACGAUCCAUAGCUGGUCUGAGAGGAUGAUCAGCCACACUGGGACUGAGACACGGCCCAGACUCCUACGGGAGGCAGCAGUGGGGAAUAUUGGACAAUGGGCGAAAGCCUGAUCCAGCAAUGCCGCGUGAGUGAUGAAGGCCUUAGGGUUGUAAAGCUCUUUUACCCGGGAUGAUAAUGACAGUACCGGGAGAAUAAGCUCCGGCUAACUCCGUG